rnacentral:rRNA from 1 species
GACGAACGCUGGCGGCGUGCUUAACACAUGCAAGUCGAACGGAAAGGCCCUGCUUUUGUGGGGUGCUCGAGUGGCGAACGGGUGAGUAACACGCGAGUAACCUGCCCUUGACUUUGGGAUAACUUCAGGAAACUGGGGCUAAUACCGGAUAGGAGCUCCUGCUGCAUGGUGGGGGUUGGAAAGUUUCGGCGGUUGGGGAUGGACUCGCGGCUUCUCAGCUUGUUUGUGGGGUAGUGGCUUACCAAGGCUUUGACGGGUAGCCGGCCUGGGAAGGUGACCGGCCACAUUGGGACUGAGAUACGGCCCAGAAGCCUACGGGAGGCAACAGUGGGGAAUAUUGCACAAUGGGCGGAAGCCUGAUGCGGCGACGCCGCGUGCGGGAUGACGGCCUUCGGGUUGUAAACCGCUUUCGCCUGUGACGAAGCGUGAGUGACGGUAAUGGGUAAAGAAGCACCGGCUAACUACGUG